GCUGGGCAUGGUGGCAGGCACCUGUAAUCCCAGCUACCCGGGAGGCUGAGGCGGGAGAAUUUCUUGAACCUGGGAGGUGGAGGUUGCAGUGAACCGAGAUCGCGCCAUUGCACUCCAGCCUGGACAACAGAGUGAGACUCCAUCUUUUUUUUUUUUUUUUUUUUUGAGACAGAGUCUCACUCUGUUGUCCAGGCUGGAGUGCAAUGGCACGAUCUCGGUUCACUGCAACCUCCGCCUCCCAGGUUCAAGAAAUUCUCCCGCCUCUG
rfam:Pan troglodytes isolate Yerkes chimp pedigree #C0471 (Clint) chromosome 22, whole genome shotgun sequence.